CAAAUUGCAGGAGGCUGAUGUUAUGAGAAGCAAAUUGGAGACGGCGAAAGAGAGGAAGCUGAUGCUCGCUGCUGAAGUUCGGUUUCUACGGAAAAGGCAUAUAUACCUUGUGAAGACGAAGGAUGCGAAUUCACCUGUGCAAGAACAAAAUCUUGUACAAGCGCCAAACUCACUAAAGCGUGCUAAAAUCACAAAGCAGCAGCUUCUGAAUGGAAAAGAAGCGAGCCGGCAUAGAUUGCCUUCAGCUCCAGUACCCAUCUCCAAGAAGAAACGAGUUGCUCUGCCGAUGCUUCAUGUAGUAAAACAUGUAUUAACAGGCAACUUGUGUAGCUCGAAUUGUUGGAUGCUAUGUUAUAUAUGCUAAUAUUAUCUUGUCAAUGUUAUUUUAUUA